GGAAUUCGGAGUGGCCACCCGUUCUGAAAGUUUGAUUUUCUUCUGAAAAAAGAAGGUUGCAGAAUAGUCCCUGUACUUUGUCGUGUUGUAGUAUUUAGAGUACGAUUGGCAUGCCAAGAGGUUAUUUUGCAAGCG